UUUCAUAAGGUUAUGUGUGUUUUUACACACUAAAGGUUUCAUUUUUCAUAUAUUCAAUUGUAAGUGAAUUAUAUUUGUUCAUGGGAUAUGGAACUUUUGAAGCACCAAUUAGAGUCGAGCGUGUCGCCGUUUGAAGGGAACAGUUCAAAUCACAUAUCCAAUAAUCGACACGAAGUAGAAUCAUGUGGGAGCGCAAUAGCAACAGGCACAUGGGAUUGCCGAAGCCGAUUUUGAUUGACACUAACAUAUCAUGUUUAUAAAGCCAGGUUUAUGGUUUAUGGUUUUAUUUGGUCCACAAUGUAAUGUAAAUUCAUGUAUGGCUGCUUGCAGGUGCACUUGGAGAUCUUUAUUGAUUUCUACGGCCCAUAACCUAAGCUUAGCUGGUGGUGUUGUUUCCUACAAUCUGGACUGGCCCCCUCCUGCUUCCUUUGAUAAAAACUUGUCAGGAAACCCAAAAUACUACCUGCUAUUCAACAAUGGGGACCUUCAAACCCCAUCACUAUUCUUCCCCCCACCCUCCAUAAGGAACUUGAUUGGAAAUGGUAACAGAGUAAGGACAGAAAUGGUCUCUCCAGUCUCGAUCUAUGGCCCCAUCUAAGGUUUUAAUGUUCAUUUGCAGCAACAAGUCUUGGAAAACGGGCUGAGUUUGAAGAUUCCUCCUUAAGGAUUCAGGUUUUUCUUCAAACAAUUUUUUGAUUAUUUCCUCUUAGCUACAAUUCCUUUACCUUAGAAGUAACUGAGCUUCUAGCUACAACGUAAAAAGCUGAUUUUUUUUUUGGGCUAAUUGAUGUUCAUAGUGGAAGGGUUAAGUCAGUGGCAGGAAGAAUGGAGAGAUUUUUCAAUCACAAAUUGUAAAAUUCUCUCUCUCUCACGACUGUAUAUCUAAUAUACAGAAGAGGACUGUUCUGAACCCCAGUUAGAAAGUAAGUGCACUUAAAAAGUAUGAGAGAAUCCACUUGACUUUCCUUCACUGCUUGCAUGAUCAUCAUCCCCAUGAUUUACGAACCCUUUAUUUCAAGCUUAGCUUCUACUAUAGUGUCAUCAAACAGUAACUCACAUUUUCCAUCAUAUUUAAUCGCACUGUCGAGAUAAUGCAAUUCUGUGUUCUUUGAUCAGAGUGGUUGUCAAGCUUUCUUUAAAAUGCCUUAGUUGAUGCCUCAUGAUUCAACCUUUUGAGGUUUUUUCUUUUUGACAGUCUUCUGAGGCAAGUCUCCCUACAUUGCCUUUUAUUUCACAUUCACUUUUACAUGUAAAGGUAUUCAUAAUCUAUUCUCCCACUAUUUACAUUUGCUUAAGAAUAUCUAUACUAUAUUUCACUUUUUUGUCAUGAGCAAUGCUGUCAUCCAGAGAAAACAACUCACACAAGUUCUAGUCAAUUCACUCUUAAGACACGAAAUAAAGCAACGAGCAAAUCGAACAGAAUUAGACAACAUUAGUUAAGUUCAUGAAGGGUAAAGAUCCAAAUGUCCUCUUCCCCUUUCUCCUCACCAGGAGACAGGAAGAGAAAGAUCCUGUCUUAGCCUAGCCUAAAGUUUUGCAGACAAGAUCACAUGAAAUGAGGACCCGAAAGAAAUCACUUGGUUGUAGAGAUAUGUGUUGCCAACAUCAGCCUUGGAAAAGAAUCCCACAAAAGUAGUUUUAAAAGUGAUUCGGUUUACUUGUGUUGGAUAAGAAGUGUACUCCUUCGAUGCAUUGGAGGGACAAUUCAAACAGCUUGUUAGAUUGUGACUGAUAUUGAUGUUGCGGUUUUUGUACAACUUUCAAUCAUGUAUUUUCUCAAAAGUUUCCCACAAACAAGUUUUGUGUAAGGUUGGUAUAGGGCUCCUAAAGAUGUGGCUAAGAAGGUAGCAAUACAAAGACAAAAGAAAAUCAACAUUAUCUCGAGUUUGAAUAUUGACCAAUCUUUCAUUA